GGCUGAGUGUGCUACACCAAGAAGGGGAGAAGACAGAAUAUUCUAACAGGCUGUGGGCCCCCGCCGCCAUCUGGAUCUCGGUUUCCUCACCUCUGAGGGGUCUUUUCCAGUUCCAAUAUGCAAAUGGUUCAUCACUCGCUGUAGAAUAGAAUCAGAGCUGUGAUAUGCUGUCCACGUGGCCCACAGACUCAGGGAGGGUCUGAAACUCUGCCAGGGCCUACUGUGCUCCUUUCAGAGGAGCACCACCCCACCCAAGGCACCCCAGGGUGUCUCAGGAGGGCGGCCCAGGACCACUCCGAAUGCACUGAAAGCUGACUGUGUUCAGUAGGGGAGAGGGGCCCCUUCUCUAAAUAUUUUCUCUCCAGGUUUGGCUGGAGACAGUCACAGCCGGUCAGGGGGCUCAAAGAGGCGCCAGGCCUGCCAAGAACCACCUGAGGAUGGCGUUUGUGAGGAAAACCCAGGGAGCAGGGCUGGCCCACUCCCAGGCAGCAAAAGUACGGGGCCACCCUCCCCUUCCUGGGUUGGAGCCAGGGCACCCACUGUGGCUGGAAGGGAGAAAGGGAGUUGUGGGCCCAGGCAGCCCCCAGAAAACAGCCCGCAGCCCUCCAGUCAGCUGCCGCGUGUUUGUUUUCACAGCUGCUCCUCCAGCUCGGCUGUUCCAGUGAGCAAAGGAAUCUGUUUGUCUGAGAAAAAGAAUGUGGCAGAGAGGCGGGAGGCAGCCCCAGGCAGCCCCGGCAGCCUCCUCAGCUUCGGAGCUCACCAAAACCAGCCAGCCACCUCGGGGAGUCACCCAAGAGCCUAGAUGGCUACAGACGGGUUGGUUACUGGUUCUGCUCUAAGGACUGGCCUGCUGGACUCGCUGCGCUUCUCUGCCAGCUGUUCCCUCUUCCGCCUUCUGUUUGCUUUGAUCUGAGGUUGACAGACCACCUGGCCUGCUAAACUGGGAAGGUAAGCUCAUCCCAUCUGCCCGUUCACCUGCCAAGAGUCCAUCAUUGUGGUCUUUGUGUUUAUACGCCGAAGGGGGCAGCUGGGGGUGAAAACAGCCCAGCUUGUUUUGUCACUUGGUCUCCCCUGCCAUGACUGUUGCCCUGUAAUCCCCCUCCCCCAGGGCGGCUCAGACCCAGGAAUUUUAAUCAACCUGGAAUUAGAAACUUUGUUAACACCAGUGGCUGGAGAAAGGCCUGAGGGGGGAUUCAAAUGCCUGUGACUUUCAGGUGGGGGAGUCGAGCCCUCAGGAAGCCAGUCUGUGGGGGGUGAUGACAUCAUCUCAGCCACGCAAGCCCUGCAGAGAGAAGAGGGAGUCUCCCAGCUGUGGAGACGAGAAAACAAUGAUCUCCACGCGCCCCGCAGCCAGAGUGGAGUUCAAGUCCCUCAGCUUAAAAUCAAAUCUCCCCUUUGUUCCUAACUCUCCCCCACCACCCACAAAUGUCCUGCAACUGUCAUGGAGCGGCUACUACUAAUAAUAAUCACUGGCCUUGUGUUGGGCUUUGCAAACUGUUCUCACAUUCACUGCACCAGUGAAUCAAGCAAUCCUCUGUGAGGCCAGGGAGACAGGCAUUAUCGCUCCCAUUUUACAGAGGAAGUGACUGAGGCUGCAAAAGAUGAACAGAUGGGUACAAGCGUGGUCAAGUUGAGUCUCAAGCCAAGGGUUCUAUGUCUUAGCCUAAAGUGGUGGUUCUCGAGCUUUAGCACACUGGAAUCCCCUGGAGGGCUUGGUUAAAAGAAUUUGCUUUUCUAACAAAUGUCCAAGUGAUGCUGAUGCUGUGGGGUGGGGGUCCACGCUCUCAGAAUCUGUGGCCUAAAACUUUUGCCACUACAUCGUACCUCCUCAUUGUGUUAAUAAAGAAGCGUUUCCAGCAGCUAUGGAUGGACAGAUUUGGGUCUUUUCCAAAGAAUCUGUUAAUAGCAGCAUAUAUCUGAAACAUAAGGCAGGAGCAGCAGCCUCCAGCUGCUGGGUAUUUCCCACAGAAGGGAAGGAGCCUGGACGAGAGAGGCUGGGGUAACCCAGGGUUUUGGCUUGAGCGCAUGGGGUUAAUUCUGAAUCCCUUCCGGGCAGCCCACGUGACUGGGAAGGAGGAAGGUGGAAUGAUUGCUUAUAUACAGAACCAUCAAGGUCUUGACUGUGUUAAAACCCAAUCAUUACUUCCAGGUAGUGAUGCAUUUUAGGCAAUGUCUUCUGCUUAUGCUCAGCAAUGCAUGAGUCUCAGAGCGGUGGCCAGAGAAAUGGCGAAUCGUCGUAUAUUGAGCGAGUGAUAAUGGAAUCCAGGAGGUGGAAAUUACAAGUUGAAAAGUAAAAUCAAUGCCCUGACUGUGAAAUGACUGAAUGCCUGGUGAGGAACUGUGUCGAGGUGCACCCCCACUCCCCUUACUCCACACCGACCUUUAAGACGCUCACCAGUUCAGAAGUUCCUUGAGGGCAGGAAGCAUAUUUUAAUCACGGGUAAUCAUAGCAUAUCAGGGCAGAAAUGGGCCUUAGAGAGCUUCCAGCCCUGGAGUGGCAAAUCGGUUUCAUUUUGGUGCCAGCUACAAUCAUUUAGUGGUGGCUGCCUGAAGCGCUGGGCCGAGAAGUGUUCUGCGGGUCUCUGGGCUCCUUGAGGAGUCGGCCAUGAUCAAUUAGCGAUGUUUACCAUGGCCAGGGGAGUGGCAAGGAGGCAGCACUUUGCUCAGAUUACCCAACCCCUAUCUAGUCCAACCUGUCCCGCUGACAGAUGAGGAAAGAACUGCUAAGCAGCUCUGUGUCCCCACCCACACCCCAGCACAUUCUUGUCCCCUAGCAGCCAUCCACUUCCAGGGGUCUGUGCAUAGUAUUCAAGGGUCUAUGAACUUGAGUGGGAGAGACAUUUACAUCUUUGUUUCACUAAACUCUGAGAUCAAGCACUUCCUUCCAUGAUGAAUGUAGGCAACAAACUGUGGUAGCAACAGCAGCACCUGUGACUGUCACCAAUAGAAACCACAGCUAUCUUCCUAGCACAUCAGAGCUGCUGCUGCUGUCUCUAAAGAUCACUUACACCCCUCGCUAGUCACUGUGGUCUUUGUAUGAAAGGAUCGUAGUUAUUAGACCCAACACUAAAUCUUGUUACUUAAUGCAUUAAUAAAGAAACACACAUAUUACUGAUCCCGAAGUUGCUUCUUAAUAUUUGCAUAACUGCAUUUCAAUAGAGAAUUGGUUUCCUCUGUCAUACUAUUUUAUGCAAUUAAAUUCAUCAUCCUGAGAAG
rnacentral:lncRNA from 10 species